rnacentral:rRNA from 1 species
UACGUAGGGUGCGAGCGUUAAUCGGAAUUACUGGGCGUAAAGCGUGCGCAGGCGGUUCGUUGUGUCUGUGGUGAAAGCCCCGGGCUUAACCUGGGAAUGGCAUUUGGGACUGCAAGGCUCGAGUGCGGCAGAGGAGACUGGAAUUCCUGGUGUAGCAGUGAAAUGCGUAGAUAUCAGGAGGAACACCGAUGGCGAAGGCAGGUCUCUGGGCUGACACUGACGCUCAUGCACGAAAGCGUGGGGAGCAAACAGG